rnacentral:rRNA from 1 species
ACGAACGCUGGCGGCGUGCCUCAUACAUGCAAGUAGAACGCACAGUUUAUACCGUAGCUUGCUACACCAUAGACUGUGAGUUGCGAACGGGUGAGUAACGCGUAGGUAACCUGCCUGGUAGCGGGGGAUAACUAUUGGAAACGAUAGCUAAUACCGCAUAAUAUUGAUUAUUGCAUGAUAAUUGAUUGAAAGAUGCUAUUGCAUCACUACCAGAUGGACCUGCGUUGUAUUAGCUAGUAGGGGAGGUAACGGCUCACCUAGGCGACGAUACAUAGCCGACCUGGGGGGGUGAUCGCCCACCCUGGGACUGGGCCCCGGCCCAGACCCCUACGGGGGGCAGCGGUGGGGAAUCUUCGGCAAUGGACGAAAGUCUGCCCGACCAACCCCGCGUGGGUUAAGAAGGUUUUCGGAUCCUAAAGCUCUUUUUUAAGGGAAGACCGGGUUUGAAAGGGGAAAGUUCCCCCUUUGCCGGUAUUUUACCGAAAAGGGCCGCCUACCUCCUG